UUUUUUUUUUUUCGGAUCUAAUUCUGAUUGACAUGAUGAAAUGCAAUAUGAAAUGCUAAAUGAAUGCAUGAAUGAGGAGGGAAAAUUUUGGGGUGUUACAGCCCGUAGACAUUUAUCCUGUUAUGCAGGAUGAGCAAAUUCCAUCUAGGUCACUCAUGUCCCUCAGCAUGCUUCGUGGAGUACCCAUAAACUGUCUUUAUGGUCAUCCAAUUACGGACAAUGUUUGAUUAGC
rnacentral:lncRNA from 1 species